rnacentral:rRNA from 1 species
UACGUAGGGCGCAAGCGUUGUCCGGAAUUACUGGGCGUAAAGCGCGUGUAGGCGGGACGGUUAGUCGGACGUGAAAGGCUGGGGCUCAACCCCAGAUCGCCGUUCGAAACUGCCGUUCUUGAGGGUCGAAGAGGAGAGUGGAAUUCCUGGUGUAGCGGUGAAAUGCGUAGAGAUCAGGAGGAACACCCAUGGCGAAGGCAGCUCUCUGGUCGACAUCUGACGCUGAGACGCGAAAGCGUGGGGAGCAAACAGG